CAGAAGAGUAGAUUGAUUGGUCAAAAGUCAACCCUCCUCCAGUCACCCCUCUACUCCACUGAC
rnacentral:pre_miRNA from 1 species